UACGUAGGGGGCAAGCGUUGUCCGGAAUCAUUGGGCGUAAAGAGCGUGUAGGCGGCCAGAUAAGUCCGCUGUGAAAAUCUCGAGGCUCAACUUCGAGCUGUCGGUGGAAACUGUCUGGCUAGAGUCCGGAAGAGGAGAAUGGAAUUCCUGGUGUAGCGGUGAAAUGCGCAGAUAUCAGGAAGAACACCCGGUGGCGAAGGCGGUCCACUGGGACGGUACUGACGCUGAGACGCGAAAGCGUGGGGAGCAACAGG
rnacentral:rRNA from 1 species